AUUGAACGCUGGCGGCAGGCCUAACACAUGCAAGUCGAGCGGAGCGGCCGACGGGCGAGUGAUUCCUAGGAAUCUGUCUGGCCGUGGGGGUUAACGUCCGGAAACGGGCGCUAAUACCGCAUACUAUCAGACGAGCCUAGGUCGGAUUAGUUAGGUUGUGGGGUAAAGGACUAGCUAGGCGACUCUCCGUAGCUGGUCUGAGAGGAUGGUCAGUCACACUGGAACUGAGACACGGUCCAGACUCCUACGGGAGGCAGCAGGGGGGAAUAUUAGACAGUGGGCGAAGUCCUGAUCCAGCCCUGCCGCGUGUGUGAAGAAGGUCUUCGGAUUGUAAAGCACUUUAAGUUGGGAGGCGUUACCAACAGAAUAAGCACCGGCUAACUCCGUGCCAGCCGCCGCGGUAAUAC
rnacentral:rRNA from 1 species